rnacentral:lncRNA from 1 species
UUUUUAGAAGAGCACAGCUGGUCAUAAUAUAUGGCUACGUGGAAAGACAUCUAUAAAAGUUGAAUACCCAUCUACCUCUUUUGAGAUUCAGCUAAGUUCCUCUGUGAAGCCGUUUACAAUGUCCACUGUCUCCAGGUAGUAGCCACACCUGCCUUCAUUCUUCCCCUUUGUCCAUUAUGCUCUGUAAAG